rnacentral:rRNA from 1 species
AGCGAACGUUAGCGGCGCGCCUAACACAUGCAAGUCGCACGAGAAAGGGGGCAACCCCCGGUACAGUGGCGCACGGGUGAGUAACACGUAGAUGACCUUCCCUGGAGUGGUGGAUAACCUGCCGAAAGGCGGGCUAAUACAGCAUGGGACCACAUGGUUUUGACCGAGUGGUGAAAGCGGGCCUCUGUUCACAAGCUCGCGCUCUGGGAUGGGUCUGCGGCCCAUCAGCUAGUUGGUGAGGUAACGGCUCACCAAGGCAACGACGGGUAGCUGGUCUGAGAGGAUGACCAGCCACACUGGAACUGAGACACGGUCCAGACUCCUACGGGAGGCAGCAGUGGGGAAUCUUGCGCAAUGGGCGAAAGCCUGACGCAGCGACGCCGCGUGGGUGAUGAAGGCCCUCGGGUUGUAAAGCCCUGUGGGGAGGAACGAACCGUUCGGGGGUGAAUACCCUCCGAGCCUGACGGUACCUCCUUAGCAAGCAUCGGCUAACUCUGUGCCAGCAGCCGCCGUAACAC